AGCAACGAAGCAUUAACUACUCAGUACCUGAUCAGUACCUACUACUUUUGUGUACAUUAUUGUAAAGUCAAACAUCAUACCAAGUAUUUACUGAGGAACG